rnacentral:misc_RNA from 1 species
GAUGAAGAACGCAGCGAAAUGCGAUAAGUAAUGUGAAUUGCAGAAUUCAGUGAAUCAUCGAAUCUUUGAACGCACAUUGCGCCCGCUAGUAUUCUGGCGGACAUGCCUGUCCGAGCGUCAUUUCAACCCUCAAGCCCCCGGGCUUGGUGUUGGGGAUCGGCGAGCCUCCGCGCCCGCCGUCCCCUAAAUCUAGUGGCGGUCUCGCUGUAGCUUCCUCUGCGUAGUAGCACACCUCGCACUGGGAAACAGCGCGGCCACGCCGUUAAACCCCCAACUUCUGAACGUUUGACCUCGGAUCAGGUAGGAAUACCCGCUGAACUUAAGCAUAUCAAUAAGCGGACGA